rnacentral:rRNA from 1 species
UUAAAAGCGUAACAAGGUUUCCGUAGGUGAACCUGCGGAAGGAUCAUUGUCGUACCCUGGAAACAGAACGACCUGAGAACGAUGAAACAUCACUCUCGGUAGGCCGGUUUCUUACUGUGCCUGCUGAUUCCGUGGUUAUGCGUUCAUCCUUGGCCAAGACUUCAGUUUUGGUUGGAUCGUACGCAUAGCUUCCGGAUAUCACCAAACCCCGGCACGAAAAGUGUCAAGGAAAAUGCAACUAAACAGCCUGCUUUCGCCAACCCGGAGACGGUGUUUGUUCGGAAGCAGUGCUGCAAUGUAAAGUCUAAAACGACUCUCGGCAACGGAUAUCUCGGCUCUCGCAUCGAUGAAGAACGUAGCGAAAUGCGAUACUUGGUGUGAAUUGCAGAAUCCCGUGAACCAUCGAGUCUUUGAACGCAAGUUGCGCCCCAAGCCUUCUGGCCGAGGGCACGUCUGCCUGGGUGUCACAAAUCGUCGUCCCCCCAUCCUCUCGAGGAUAUGGGACGGAAGCUGAUCUCCCGUGUGUUACCGCACGCGGUUGGCCAAAAUCCGAGCUAAGGACGUCAGGAGCGUCUUGACAUGCGGUGGUGAAUUUAAUUCUCGUCAUAUAGUCAGACGUUCCGGUCCAAAAGCUCUUGAUGACCCAAAGUCCUCAACGCGACCCCAGGUCAGGCGGGAUCACCCGCUGAGUUUAAGC